rnacentral:rRNA from 1 species
ACGCUCGACACCUACGGGAGCAGCAGUAGGGAAUCUUCCACAAUGGACGCAAGUCUGAUGGAGCAACGCCGCGUGAGUGAAGAAGGUUUUCGGAUCGUAAAGCUCUGUUGUUGGUGAAGAAGGAUAGAGGUAGUAACUGGCCUUUAUUUGACGGUAAUCAACCAGAAAGUCACGGCUAACUACGUGCCACAGCCGCGGUAAUCUGAGCGGGCUGGCAAGGC